AGUUCUUGCUUCUAUUUGUGUGACAGAGGUUCCUAGCAGAACACUUGAAAAGGUAAGCUAAUCAAAAUGAAGACACUGUUAGUUCUCCUCUUCAAGUCAGCCUUCUUAAAGAUGAUUCACAAUUACAAGACUCAACCAUUGUCAACAAUUUUAUUUGUUUUAGAUUGAAAAAACCUGGUCAGCUUAAUUAAUCCUAUCUUUAAAAAGGAAAGGGGAAAAAAAACCACUUUAUCUUAAUACCAAACCAUUUUGAAAGUCAUCCAGGAUUUUGAGAAAGCCUACUAGUUUCUAUUUUAUGCAGGGCCAGGCUUGGACUAUUAUGAAUGUUGCUGAACACUGUUAAUCAAGCUUACACAGCUAUUUUGAUGGCAAACAAUUAGAACUCUGCAGCUCUACCUUGCAAUUAGCUUCAGGGAUAUGGACCUCAGCACCAUAAUAAUGAAAGAGACCUCCUUCAAGCACGCAUUGCUGUCACCAAAUUUCAUCAGCCAACUAUCUGCUAUGGCCUGUCAAACAGAAUCCACGUGCAUGAUCUGGAUUUUGUUGACACACAAGCUUGUCUUCAUCCAUCCUCCAUGCUAGAAGACAUUAAAGAACACUGCUGGUUAAGUGACCUGCAACCCCUUAUUGGAAUCUCUGGGACAGAGGACUUGCUGCCUCUUGAGGAAAUAAACCUAUAGAGAAAAAAAGACA
rnacentral:lncRNA from 12 species